UACGUAGGGUCCGAGCGUUGUCCGGAAUUACUGGGCGUAAAGCGCACGUAGGCGGCUUGGUAUGUCGGGUGUGAAAUCCCCGGGCUCAACCUGGGAACUGCAAUGGAAACUGGCGGGCUUGAGUGCGGCAGAGGGGGGUGGAAUUCCGCGUGUAGCAGUGAAAUGCGUAGAGAUGCGGAGGAACACCGAUGGCGAAGGCAGCCCCCCUGGGCCGACACUGACGCUCAGGCACGAAAGCGUGGGGGAGCAAACAGG
rnacentral:rRNA from 1 species